GACGAACGCUGGCGGCGUGCCUAACACAUGCAAGUCGAGCGGGGUUGAAGCGAGGGGUAACUCGAGUUUCUACCUAGCGGCGGACGGGUGAGUAACGCGUGGGCAACCUGCCUCAAGGACUGGGAUAACAGCUCGAAAGGGCUGCUAAUACCGGAUAAGCCUAUGGCCUCGCAUGGGGCCAUGAGCAAAGGAGAAACCCGCCUUGAGAUGGGCCCGCGUCCCAUCAGCUAGUUGGUGAGGUGAAGGCUCACCAAGGCGACGACGGGUAGCCGGCCUGAGAGGGUGACCGGCCACACUGGGACUGAGACACGGCCCAGACUCCUACGGGGGCAGCAGUGGGGAAUCUUGCACAAUGGGCGAAAGCCUGAUGCAGCGACGCCGCGUGAGCGAAGAAGGCCUUCGGUGUAAGCUCUGUCUGGAGGGACGAAGGAAGUGACGGUACCUCCGGAGGAAGGCCACGGCGUAACUACGUG
rnacentral:rRNA from 1 species